GACGAACGCUGGCGGCGUGCCUAAUACAUGCAAGUCGAACGCUUCUUUCCUCCCGAGUGCUUGCACUCAAUUGGAAAGAGGAGUGGCGGACGGGUGAGUAACACGUGGGUAACCUACCCAUCAGAGGGGGAUAACACUUGGAAACAGGUGCUAAUACCGCAUAACAGUUUAUGCCGCAUGGCAUAAGAGUGAAAGGCGCUUUCGGGUGUCGCUGAUGGAUGGACCCGCGGUGCAUUAGCUAGUUGGUGAGGUAACGGCUCACCAAGGCCACGAUGCAUAGCCGACCUGAGAGGGUGAUCGGCCACACUGGGACUGAGACACGGCCCAGACUCCUACGGGAGGCAGCAGUAGGGAAUCUUCGGCAAUGGACGAAAGUCUGACCGAGCAACGCCGCGUGAGUGAAGAAGGUUUUCGGAUCGUAAAACUCUGUUGUUAGAGAAGAACAAGGACGUUAGUAACUGAGCGUCCCCUGACGGUAUCUAACCAGAAAGCCACGGCUAACGACGUG
rnacentral:rRNA from 1 species